GAUGAACGCUGGCGGCGUGCCUAAUACAUGCAAGUCGAGCGAACAGACGAGGAGCUUGCUCCUCUGACGUUAGCGGCGGACGGGUGAGUAACACGUGGAUAACCUACCUAUAAGACUGGGAUAACUUCGGGAAACCGGAGCUAAUACCGGAUAAUAUAUUGAACCGCAUGGUUCAAUAGUGAAAGACGGUUUUGCUGUCACUUAUAGAUGGAUCCGCGCCGCAUUAGCUAGUUGGUAAGGUAACGGCUUACCAAGGCAACGAUGCGUAGCCGACCUGAGAGGGUGAUCGGCCACACUGGAACUGAGACACGGUCCAGACUCCUACGGGAGGCAGCAGUAGGGAAUCUUCCGCAAUGGGCGAAAGCUUGACGGGGCAACGCCGCGUGAGUGAUGAAGGUCUUCGGAUCGUAAAACUCUGUUAUUAGGGAAGAACAAAUGUGCAAGUAACUAUGCACGUCUUGACGGUACCUAAUCAGAAAGCCACGGCUAACUACGUG
rnacentral:rRNA from 1 species